UCGGGGAUCGUCUAAUGGCAGGACGUCUGGUUCUGGUCCAGAUAAUCUAGGUUCGACUCCUAGUCCCCGAACCA
rnacentral:tRNA from 1 species